rnacentral:ncRNA from 1 species
GCGAGCCGUGUGCGAUGAAAGUCGCACGCACGGUUCUACGGGGGGAGGGUUCCAGUAAUGGAGCCUUCCUACCCUAC